CCAAUAGCGUAUAUUAAAGUUGUUGCAGUUAAAAAGCUCGUAGUUGAAUUUCGGGAUUGACACAUCGGUCGUGCCUUAAGGGGUAUGAACUGGUGUAGUCAAUUUCUCACCUUCUGGAGAACCGCGAUGCCCUUAAUUGGGUGUCGCGGGGAACCAGGACCUUUACUUUGAAAAAAUUAGAGUGUUUAAAGCAGGCAUUUUGCUUGAAUACAUUAGCAUGGAAUAAUAAAAUAGGACGGCAUGAUUCUAUUUUGUUGGUUUCUAGGAUCACCGUAAUGAUUAAUAGGGAUAGUUGGGGGCAUUAGUAUUCAAUUGUCAGAGGUGAAAUUCUUGGAUUUAUUGAAGACUAACUACUGCGAAAGCAUUUGCCAAGGAUGUUUUCAUUAAUCAAGAACGAAAGUUAGGGGAUCGAAGACGAUCAGAUACCGUCGUAGUCGUAACCAUAAACUAUGCCGACUAGGAAUCAGACGAUGUUAAUUUUUUAAUGACUCGUUUGGCACCUUACG
rnacentral:rRNA from 1 species